rnacentral:lncRNA from 1 species
GGCUAAAGUACUUUCAGGGAAGACUUUUUAAUCUUCUUCUGUUUGAAAAACAUAAAAUGAGGUGAUGACUGGCAAAUGAGAGCAAGCCUGUUUAAUAUUAAGAUUAUGACGUAAAUUGACAAAAGCCCCAGCAUUCCAAGUCCUAGUUGCUAGGCACCUUCUCCUUGCUCCCAUCUGAGUAUAAUGAUGUAUUGUCAGCCUUAGCUGAGGUACAAAAGGGUUAUUAGACUUUUGAGUCCAUCUGCUACCCAUGCAAAGGAAAUAGUCAAACUAACACUGCCUGCUCUUUUCCUUGGUUUCUUGCCACCUUAAUUAUAGUUCAUCUGAGUUAUGUGUGUACUUGCUGCCUUGAGUAGAACAUUUUCCAGGACUGUAAGAAAGCAGAGUGAAAGCUCAGGUAAGGGAAUUGAAGCAGAAUUUGCAGUUAUAGCUUGGGGGAAGGGGUCAUCUGGUGACUUACCCAAGCAAUCAAACCAACAGCACGGCAGCACGGGCUACCCACAGUUCAUGUGGCUUCAAUGGCAAUUAUUGCCAAACUAUUUUCAUGGAACUUUUCAAUUCAAACCUGGUCCUAGUUUUUGUUUUUAAAUAUUUGUGAGUGUGUGUAUAUGUGCUUUUUGUUGAGAUUGCUAUAUCAGGGUGUUUUUGUUUUUUUUUGAAUGAUAGAAAUUGUCUUUCAUUUUUAUUUACCUAUCCUGUUUUAGAUCAGUGGUCAGCCCUGUUUUCUGCUGGGAUAAACCUUGUGGAAGAUCUCUUCAUGCACAAAGUGACACAGGUAUAUCAUUCAUCUGGGUCUGUGGCCUAGAAAAGACAGACUCUGAGUUUUGUGCAGCUCCCUGUGAGUUAGUUAACUUCAUCUAUUUCUUUACAGUCAAUUUGAAACUCAUUAAGGUUACUAUACCACAAAAAUUGCUGCUCUAAGAAUAUGCCAAGUGCCUUCAGAAAAGAUGCAGAAAAUGAAGUACAACAAAAUCAAGCUCUUCGGCACAGGCUUCCAGGCACCAAGAGAUUUGGGACUAGCAUACAGAUCCACCACUCCACAAACUUACCUUUAUCACAGUUACAUAUUCAGAAUUUUAUAUUUGUACAUCUUAAUGCACCUUGUUUUGUAGGGCUGAUUGGAGUUAAGACUUUUUUUGCCCUCUGGCGACAUUGUAACUGUGAAAGCAAUGGACGAAUAAAGGAGUCAUUAUUCUCCAGUGUGCUAUGUGGUUGAUUGUAACUUAUACAUUUUCAUUCUCAGAAACA